GUAUGUAUCCGUGUAGGCUUAUCUAUAUGUGUGUGUCUGUGUAGGCCUGUGUGUGUGUAUAUGUGUGUAGACCUGUGUAUGUCUGUGUAGGCCUGUGUGUGUGUGUAGGCCUGUGUGUGUGUGUGUAUAUCUGUGUAGUCCAGUGUGUGUCUGUGUAGGCCUGUGUGUGUGUGUAUGUAGGUGUGUGUGUCUGUGUAUGCCUCUGUGUGUGUGUGUGUGUAUGUGUAGGCCUAUGUGUGUCUGUGUAGGCCUGUGUGUGUGUGUAGGCGUGUGUGUGUCUGUGUAGGCCUGUGUGUAUGUCUGUGUAGGUGUGUGUGU
ensembl:lncRNA